AUGCCGCGUGAGUGACGAAGGCCUUAGGGUCGUAAAGCUCUUUCGCCUGUGAUGAUAAUGACAGUAGCAGGUAAAGAAACCCCGGCUAACUCCGUGCCAGCAGCCGCGGUAAUACGGAGGGGGUUAGCGUUGUUCGGAAUUACUGGGCGUAAAGCGCACGUAGGCGGAUCAGAAAGUUGGGGGUGAAAUCCCGGGGCUCAACCCCGGAACUGCCUCCAAAACUUCUGGUCUGGAGUUCGAGAGAGGUGAGUGGAAUUCCGAGUGUAGAGGUGAAAUUCGUAGAUAUUCGGAGGAACACCAGUGGCGAAGGCGGCUCACUGGCUCGAUACUGACGCUGAGGUGCGAAAGUGUGGGGAGCAAACAGGAUUAGAUACCCUGGUAGUCCACACCGUAAACGAUGAAUGCCAGUCGUCGGCAAGCAUGCUUGUCGGUGACACACCUAACGGAUUAAGCAUUCCGCCUGGGGAGUACGGUCGCAAGAUUAAAACUCAG
rnacentral:rRNA from 1 species